GCCUGGCUGGCUCAGUUGGAAGAACAUGCAACUCCUAAUCUCAGGGUUGUGAGUUCAAGCCCCACGUUGGGCA
rnacentral:tRNA from 1 species